ACAAUCCCAGGAAUAAAACACAAAAUCCCUAAGAAUCUAAAAGGAUGUGCAGGUUUCCUCAGGCCUGCCUAGACGUUUUCAGGGACUGCAUAAUUCCUGUAGGAAGAGAAGCAGGAAGCUGUGUCUGUCUUUUACCUGGAAAACCCCUGUGAGGCCCAGAAUGAAGGGAAGCAGUUAGGUCAAGCGCCUGGCCAUCUCUAACAACCACCAUCCUCUGGGGUCUCAGAGACCUGCCUGAUUUUAGUAGGACGAGAAGUAGCCAGCAGUGUAUGGAUUUUGCCUGGUAUUCCAGCCUCUGCUUUAUUUCAUCUGAACAGCCUUCGAAUUGUGGAAGGACUCUUUCACUGGGCCGUUGCUGGAUGAGACUGCAUCUUGCCACAGAUUAUUUAGCUGCCUGGGAUUUCAGAGAG